UACAGAGGUCCCGAGCGUUGUUCGGAUUCAUUGGGCGUAAAGGGUGCGUAGGUGGCGCUGUAAGUGGGGUGUGAAAUCCCGGGGCUUAACCCCGGGACUGCAUUCCAUACUGCGGUGCUUGAGGACUGGAGAGGAGACUGGAAUUUACGGUGUAGCAGUGAAAUGCGUAGAGAUCGUAAGGAAGACCAGUGGCGAAGGCGGGUCUCUGGACAGUUCCUGACACUGAGGCGCGAAGGCCAGGGGAGCAAACGGG
rnacentral:rRNA from 1 species